UGGGGAAUUUUGGACAAUGGGGGAAACCCUGAUCCAGCCAUCCCGCGUGUGCGAUGAAGGCCUUCGGGUUGUAAAGCACUUUUGGCAGGAAAGAAACGUCAUGGGUUAAUACCCCGUGAAACUGACGGUACCUGCAGAAUAAGCACCGUCUAACUACGUGCCAGCAGCCGCGGUAAUACGUAGGGUGCAAGCGUUAAUCGGAAUUACUGGGCGUAAAGCGUGCGCAGGCGGUUCGGAAAGAAAGAUGUGAAAUCCCAGAGCUCAACUUUGGAACUGCAUUUUUAACUACCGGGCUAGAGUGUGUCAGAGGGAGGUGGAAUUCCGCGUGUAGCAGUGAAAUGCGUAGAUAUGCGGAGGAAAACCGAUGGCGAAGGCAGCCUCCUGGGAUAACACUGACGCUCAUGCACGAAAGCGUGGGGAGCAAACAGG
rnacentral:rRNA from 1 species